UGCCAGCAGCCGCGGUAAGACGGAGGGUGCAAACGUUGCUCGGAAUCACUGGGCAUAAAGCGCACGUAGGCGGUCCGCUAAGUUGGGCGUGAAAGCCCCCGGCUCAACCGGGGAAUUGCGCCCAAUACUGGCGGGCUUGAGGACGGUAGGGGUGAGUGGAACUCCAGGUGGAGCGGUGAAAUGCGUAGAUAUCUGGAGGAACACCGGUGGCGAAAGCGACUCACUGGACCGUCUCUGACGCUGAGGUGCGAAAGCCAGGGGAGCGAACGGGAUUAGAUA
rnacentral:rRNA from 1 species